GGGUUGCACAGGAGCAGGGUCCACGUCCCGCAACCUGGGUGUCAUGAUUUCUUGAAGCCAUGAUAGCUGAUGCUCC
rnacentral:ribozyme from 1 species